rfam:Sphingobium quisquiliarum P25 contig101, whole genome shotgun sequence.
AAACUUGAGAGUUUGAUCCUGGCUCAGAACGAACGCUGGCGGCAUGCCUAAUACAUGCAAGUCGAACGAUCUCUUCGGAGAUAGUGGCGCACGGGUGCGUAACGCGUGGGAAUCUGCCCUUGGGUUCGGAAUAACGUCGGGAAACUGACGCUAAUACCGGAUGAUGACGUAAGUCCAAAGAUUUAUCGCCCAGGGAUGAGCCCGCGUAGGAUUAGCUAGUUGGUUGGGUAAAGGCUGACCAAGGCGACGAUCCUUAGCUGGUCUGAGAGGAUGAUCAGCCACACUGGGACUGAGACACGGCCCAGACUCCUACGGGAGGCAGCAGUAGGGAAU